AUUGAACGCUGGCGGCAGGCCUAACACAUGCAAGUCGAACGAGUGGCGGACGGGAGAGUAAUGUCUGGGAAAAUGCCUGAUGGAGGGGGAUAACUACUGGAAAAGGUAGCUAAUACCGCAUACCAUCAGAGGUGCCCAGAUGGGAUUAGCUUUUGGUGGGGGUAAAGGCUCACCAAGGCGACGAUCCCUAGCUGGUCUGAGAGGAUGACGAGCACCCCUGGAACUGAGCCACGGUCCAGCCUCCUACGGGAGGCAGCAGUGGGGAAUAUUGCACAAUGGGCGCAAGCCUGAUGCAGCCCUGCCGCGUGUAUGAAGAAGGCCUUCGGGUUGUAAAGUACUUUCAGCGGGGAGGCGUUACCCGCAGAAGAAGCACCGGCUAACUCCGUGCCAGCAGCCGCGGUAAUUC
rnacentral:rRNA from 1 species